GACGAACCGUGCGAACGUUAUUCGGAAUCACUGGGCUUAAAGCGCGUGUAGGCGGGACGGCACGUCGGUCGCUGAAAGCCCCCGGCUCAACCGGGGAACGGGCGCCGAUACGACCGUCCUGGAGGGACGUAGAGGGACCUGGAACUUCCGGUGGAGCGGUGAAAUGCGUUGAGAUCGGAAGGAACGCCCGUGGCGAAAGCGAGGUCCUGGACGUUUUCUGACGCUGAGACGCGAAAGCCAGGGGAGCGAACGGG
rnacentral:rRNA from 1 species